rnacentral:rRNA from 1 species
UACGGAGGGAGCUAGCGUUGUUCGGAAUUACUGGGCGUAAAGCGCACGUAGGCGGUUCGUUAUGUCGGAUGUGAAAGCCCUUGGCUUAACCGAGGAAGUGCAUCCGAAACUGGCGAGCUAGAGUACUAAAGAGGAUCGCGGAAUUCCCGGUGUAGAGGUGAAAUUCGUAGAUAUCGGGAGGAACACCGGUGGCGAAGGCGGCGAUCUGGGUAGAUACUGACGCUGAGGUGCGAAAGCGUGGGGAGCAAACAGG